ACUCUCGGACGCAGAGACCCGCUCAUGUUGGUGAAGAAGCCGCGCCAGAACCGCGCGGCUGCAGUCACCUCGAGCAGGCCGGCUGCUCCUGGCAGGCGGUGUCGGCGCCGGCGGGGGACUCGGCGCCCAGGGCCCCUUCCAGGCCCUCCCUCGCCGGGCUCCCCACCAGCUCCGGAGGUGGCGGCGAUGCGGACCGAGUGAGCGGCGGUGGGGCCAGGCCGGGCGCCGGGCGGGAGCCGAGGCCGCGGCGGACUCCGCAAUCCCGCAGCCGGUGACUGGAGCCCACCUCUGCAGAGACAAAGGAACUGCUCUGGUGAACUCCCCCUGAAAGUAAAUGUCCUUGGCUGGCCUCCAGCAUUCCCCUCAUGGGCAUAGCCAUGCAGCCUUCAGAACCUUCCUGAAAGAGGGCUUGUUUCAAAUAGGUGAGGCUAUCGCUUUCCUGAAGAACAGCGGAGGACGUACCAACCGACGUCUGAGAUGCACACAGCAAGCUGGUUUAAAACCAGCGGCGAACAGAACAAAGGCAAUACAAAUAAAUAUGACACCUACUGAAAAUAACGGAACACAGCGGCAGCCACCGCAUAAAGAACUAGCGAUUUCAGGCGAUUACAAGGGCGGUUCAAAACGAAAGCAAGUUAAAAAAUGAGACGCAUUUUACAAGGCGAUUUGCCAGAGUUGCCAGAUUAUUUAAUUUGUAUGGACUAUAGAAAAAUAAUUGUCAACUUGGACAUUGUCUUUAAAUUCUUGUCACUGGCCCAAUCUUUUUCUUAAGUUUAAGGAAGCUGCAGAGCUGGACUACAAGUUACAUUCUUCAGCUAAUACGUGCUUUUCUAAUAUUUUCCCCGAGAUAUUACAUUUAGAAAAUACGCAAAGAAACCUUUUAGGAGUAAACAAAACGCACCCGAACUAUUCAUUAUAAAGGAAAGAAUAAAAAAUCCAUAAAUAAUACAUUGUAAUCAAAUAAUAUAAAGUAUUCUGCAGACAUAAUUUUUUUUAAUUAAUAAACUCCUUUUAAUUUACUCACCACAAAUAUUAAAAUGUUCAAGUGCACUUGUUUAAUUAAUAAAGCAUUUUAUAUGCAAUUAUUAAGUGCUAAUCAUUAGGAAGUUUACGUUGUUGAGGCAAAUCACUAGCUCAGACAUUAAAAACCAUUAUAAAAAUAUAGCUACAAGGUCAGUAUCAAAUUACCCUUCCAUAGGACAGCUCAAGGACAGCUUCUAUGUGAUACUAGAAACUUUUUUAAACACCCAAAUCCCUCUCAAAGCACAGAAAACCUCAAGAGCAGUGACAUGAAGGUAGCUUGAAACACAGGUAAGGUCCUUUCCAACAAAGAAAAUAGGUGGUGUCCACAGCAUAUGGUGAUUAUUAGUUUUAAUAGUCUGUGGUAAAUUUUAAAGGUAGAAGUUAAUUUGUCAGGCCUUCGGCUCUGUCUUCCUCCAGCUCUUGGGCUUCCUUUUUCGUUUCCCCGUCCUUCACCUCCUGCCGGGAAACGGGAAAUUUGUCCUUGUUGUUUUCCUUUUUCCAUUUCAUUCUCCUGUUCUGGAACCAGAUUUUUACCUGUCUCUCGGUGAGGGCUAGGGCGUGGGAAACCUCGAUUCUUCUUUUCCUGGUCAGAUAGGGGUUAAAAAGAAAUUCCUUUUCCAACUCUAGAGUUUGGAAGCGACUGUAGGUUUGUCUUCCUCUUCGUCUACCAGGAGCUGCUGAUUAAAACAAAAAAAAAGGGGGGGGGAAUAAAAGUUUUAAAAAUGUUAUGGUACCUCUGCAUGUUGCUGGAGGUUUGUGGAACGGGGGUCUACGGGGUGAAAUAUACACAGAGCUCUUUAGCUCCGAUAUAUAUAUAUAGGGUGUGCAGGCAAGAGGAGCAGAGAGGUCUUCACAAUUAUUCUGUCCCCAUCAUCUUUACAUGGUUCCUACUUUUUUAAAAAAAGUCUGUAUUACUUUAUGAAUAAGAGCCACUGUGGCUACACAAGAAGGAAAAGGAGGGGGAGAGGGAACGGGAGUUUUAAAGCCAGAACGUGAGAUGAAAGCAGAUUUCUCCCCCUCUCCCUUCUUAAAAAAAAAAUGCAUCCCAACCUUGUGGUCUCAUCCACGGAAACAUUUGAGAAGGAGACGAGCUCUGAUUUAAGUGGUCUGGGUCCUCGCCAAUAUUACCACUGGACGAUUUACAGUCAGGAUAUUGUACCAGCUCGGCCUCUUGCUGGGUCGUAAAAAUCGGCUGUCUCUGUAAGUUAUCGUAUCCGUAAAACUUCGCGGGCUCCCCGUGACAGGCAAUCCCGCCGCAGGGGGGAGGUGGCGGCGGAGGCGGAGGAUGCGGAGGAGGAGGGGGGGCGGCCUGGUAGGCAGCGGCCGGGCUGCCCCCGCCGGGGUGGAAGUACUCCUGGCCCCGGCCUUCCCUACCGCCGCACCCAGUCCCGGAGGGCGGCGGGGACGGGUGCGGGUGCGCGUGCGCCUGCGGGGGCGCGUGCGGGAAGCCGGCGGCGCUGUUGCCAUAGAGCUGCAGGGCUGCUGCGGCGGCGGCGUGACGGCCGCCGACCUCGGGCGCGAAGUGACAGUCGUAGUAAGUGGGAUUGAUGGCCUCGCCCGCCGCCGCCGCCGCCGCAGCCGCCGCCUUGUACUUGGAGUACAGCGGGUUCACGAAGUACGAACUCAUUGGGGCGUCAGCGGCGGCGGCCCCGGGCGGGCGGGCGGCGCUAAGCAGCCAGAGAGCGAGCCUCGACUCGGCCGCACUGCCGCGGGGGCCUGUGGGGCGGCUGCUCUCGCCGCCGGGACCGCCGGGCUACGUCGCUGCUGCCGCCCGCCCGCGCUCGCGCGUCGCUUCUGAGGCCAGGCAGCCGCGGGCGCUCAGCUACUGGGCGCUCAUGCCCGGCUCUUGCGCCCGCCGCCUCGGCUUCGCGCCGCCUCCCUCGCGGGUCGCGGGGCCUCGCCCAGCCCCCGCGCGCCGCCGCCCUCCCGGCCUUUCCCGGCGCGCCCCGGCUCGGCCGCAAUAUAAUCGCCGACGCCCCAGGCGACCUGCCCCGCUGCCUCCACUGUUUCCUCUCAGGCACCAGUGACUGAGCGCACCCGGACAAGAAAAAAGUGCGCUCGGCCCACGGGGACACUCUGGCCUCGGUUUACAAACCCCGGCUCUGGAGGGAAAAGAAAAAAAACACCCUCUGCCCGCCGCCACCUCUUACCGCGCCCCCCCCGCGCCCCCCUCCCGCCAAUCUCGCCCCCGCCGCCGAGGCUGCCGACCCGGUGCGCACCGGCGAGGCAUUUUCGCACCACAGCACUGCACGGAAAGUCAGCGUGACGGGGACGAGGAGCCCCGCGGAGGGAUCCGCGCGCAGUUCAGUCGCUACGGCCGACGGACGGAGCGCCGCGCCCGGCCCGAGAUGCCUCCGCCGGCCUUAAAGGGGGCCCAUAAAGACGCACUGCCAAGGGCUCCGUGUGCCCCGGGGCCGCGGGAAUGCGGAUCGCAGCCGGCAGGGAGGGGCCGCGGCGGAGCCUUAGACUUGGGGGAGCCAAGGAGGCCACUCCCAGGAGGCUGCGGAGCAAAUGACUGCCUCCCCGAGCCCCUGGCUGCAAAAGCAGAGGUUGCCCGUGGCUUUUGCAGCUCUGGACACGCGGGUGCAGCCCAGGGAACGUGGACAAGAGGUGUUGACGGACCGGACCGUGCAUUUGAGUUGGGGCAUAUCGAAGUGGUUUAAUUAAAAGCCGCGAGUGUGGCCCCAGAUCCUGGCGUUAUCAAAGCAAAUCAAAGCCUUUCUUUUCCAGCCGAGCGGGCCCUGUGGAAAUGAGAUGUACAUUUACCCUUGACGCACCGCAAGCCUGGCCGAGGCUCUCAGGUUAAUUGAUAUUUAAUGGAAAUCAUGCCCAUGAAUAUAGUUUCCAUCAUUUCACCCUUGAUAGACGUCAGCCCUGGGCGCAGGGGGAGGCUGAAGAAUGCAGGAGGGGGCAUUAGGCUUGCUGAGAGAGUAAAUAGAAGAGCGGACAGAAACGUUCUGAGGCGGGAAAAAGGGCUCGCGCUGGGGAGGGUGACAUUUCCUCGGGCAGGACGCGGCUCCCGGGUCUCAGCCCCGGCGCGCAGCGAACCAGGGCCGGCUGCGGUUCCCGGAGGAGUGCGGAGGGCAGACGACCGCAAGUUCCCCCCAGGAGCCUCCCAGCCGGCGUUCAGAUCGCGCCGGUUCCAGGCAGCUGCAGGCGGCCCAUCUUAUGCUAACGAUCCUACUUCCUCCGCCAAGCCUGUGAAAUUACUGCCGAGAGAGCGCGCAGGCCUCAAAGUUACGAAUUUUUCCCAAAGCAGAGAAAGAGAAGGCUCAGCCUAGUUUGUGAGCAGAGAUGAAGAAAAGUUGCCCGAGUCAUGUGGCCCAGUCGAGUGUGAAUCGACAAAAUAUUCCCGAUUUUAGCAGCUCUCUCCAAAGCUGUCUGGCUUUACCCUACCAACCGCCUCCCCACACACUUCCUUUCCCUCUCUGCUCCCGUUUCAAUGUCCAAUAAAUGCAAUGGUUCUCUGUUGUGUGUGUGUGUUUUCCCCUCUCCUGCUCGGCCUUUCUCGUGGGCUCUUUGGGUGACUGAGCCCCGUUUCCUUCGGGAUAGGUACAAUGUCGUGAGGGCGCCAGGCCCACAGCCUUGGAAAUAGACCUCCAAGGCGCCCCUGCUCAAGCUAAACGCACCACGCCGGCUUUCCACACCAAAUGCAAAUUUCCGAAAACCCCAGACGGCCUCAGAGAUGCUGCAGGCUGGCGAGCGAUUUCAGCUACCCCUAGCUCCUUGUGGGUUGGCCCAGCCUGCGAGCGCGAUCCUGACUUGUGUCCGGGUGGACUGAAAUAUCAUUUUUACAAAUGGAGAAAAUGAGAUCGAGAUGGACAGACAUAGCAAGGUGAUAAUGUCCGACUCAAUUAUUUCUACUGGGAAUGACUGAAAGGUAAAGGAAUCGUUAAUGAAUCUGGAGAUGACAGAGGCAUGCUUUAUUUAAUUUUUAAAUUAGUAAGGAGUGCAGACUUGGGGUGGUGGAGAGCAAGGGUUUUUUUGUUGUUGUUGCUGUUUGUUUUUGUGGGGUUUUUUUUCUGCUGGUUAUUGCCAAGUAUAAUGACUUUCUUUAAAUCCGAAGGCGAACGAAUUGAUUCUGACAAUUAAGGAUUUGUCCUUCAAUCUUGCAAAUGCCCAAUUAAAAGAUUAUUAUUGUCAAUAAAGCCUUGGAGCUACCUUUGUAAUUGUGCCCCUUUUUUUCAGUUUGGCGUGUGUGUGUGUGUGUGUGUGUGUGUGUGUGUGUGUUUGAACCCUGGAUAAAUGAGUGGAUUUUGGAAUGGAAUGGGGGGGGGGAAAAUGAAAGAGCCUGGAUCUCAACAAUACCAGGCAUCUUGUAGAA
rnacentral:lncRNA from 1 species